GACGAACGCUGGCGGCGUGCUUAACACAUGCAAGUCGAGCGGUAAGGCCCUUUCGGGGGUACACGAGCGGCGAACGGGUGAGUAACACGUGGGUGACCUGCCCUCAGCUCUGGGAUAAGCCCGGGAAACUGGGUCUAAUACCGGAUAUGACUUCAUGACGCAUGUUGUGGAGUGGAAAGCCUUGUGCGGCUGAGGAUGGGCCCGCGGCCUAUCAGCUUGUUGGUGGGGUGANGGCCUACCAAGGCGACGACGGGUAGCCGGCCUGAGAGGGCGACCGGCCACACUGGGACUGAGAUACCGGCCCAGACUCCGUACGGGAGGCAGCAGGUGGGGAAUCUUGCGCAAGUGGGACGAAAGCCUGACGCAGCGACGCCGCGU
rnacentral:rRNA from 1 species